GGACCAAGGAGUCUAGCAUGUGCGCGAGUCAUUGGGACUCAACGAAACCUAAAGGCGUAAUGAAAGUGAAGGUCCGCCUAGCGCGGACCAAGGGAGGAUGGGUGUUCCCUCGGAACGCCCCGCACUCCCAGGGCGUCUCGUUCUCAUUGCGAGAAGAGGCGCACCAAGAGCGUACACGCUGGGACCCGAAAGAUGGUGAACUAUGCCUGGUCAGGACGAAGUCAGGGGAAACCCUGAUGGAGGUCCGUAGCGAUUCUGACGUGCAAAUCGAUCGUCGGAACUGGGUAUAGGGGCGAAAGACUAAUCGAACCAUCUAGUAGCUGGUUCCCUCCGAAGUUUCCCUCAGGAUAGCUGGCGCUCGCUUCUCGCGAGUCUCAUUCGGUAAAGCGAAUGAUUAGAGGCAUUGGGGUCGAAACGGCCUCAACCUAUUCUCAAACUUUAAAUGGGUGAGAUCUCCGGCUUGCUUGAACUGUGAAGCCGCGAGAUAUCGGAUCAGAGUGCCAAGUGGGCCACUUUUGGUAAGCAGAACUGGCGCUGUGGGAUGAACCAAACGCUGAGUUAAAGCGCCUAAAUCGACGCUUAUGGGAUACCAUGAAAGGCGUUGGUAACUUAAGACAGCAGGACGGUGGCCAUGGAAGUCGGA
rnacentral:rRNA from 1 species